UGUGACGCAAUAAGUCGCCAUUCUUUGAGUUUAGCGUUGAGUGUCAAAAGCAAGCCAAGUGAACAGACGUUGUUAUCAUGAAGUUGUUUAACCAUUCUCGGACUUUACGUUGUGAUAAUAAUUAUUAAGUGGAGGGGAUUUGGAGGGGCUACAGACUUCACUAUAAAUACAAUCUUUUGCGUUGUGAGUGCCAGUGUUGAAAUACAUUACUCGGAAUACACAGUGGUUUCACAGAGGAAGGAGGGAACUUUACUUCAUUGAGCGGUAACUAGUUUAUGGAGCGAGAGAAAAAUAGUUUAACAUCGGACGGCCCUGUGUUGGCUCUAAGCUGUCGCAGGGAAGAGAAUGGCUGGGUGCCGACGGUUGGGCGAUGGGGCUGCGAAUGGCCGAGUUGACUCGAAACUGCUGACAAGACACUUUGCAAUGACGGAGGCGGGGGUGGGGCGUGGCCGCAAGACCACCCACUGCCGCUGCCUCGCUGGGGGACGGGAGGCGGGGGCAAGUCUGGCUCCGCCCCCACCCCCAUCCUGCGCCUGCCCACCAUCGAGGCUUAUGAGGAGUUGGCGCUGACCGUAGAGUUGACUGUGCAGCAACUGAUACACCGCCAUAACUACAAUACUGUCGGCAAUUUCAUCAGGUUCUACCAGGCAUACCGCGCCAGCCGCGAGUCCAGUCUGGCCCACUUCUACCAGGCGUACCAACCGCCCAUCACGGCCGCUCACCACACGUGCGUCGGCCUCGGCCUGGAGCUGUUGCAGCGGUUGGCAGCCCUGGACGGCCGCUUCCCCGGCCUCAGCCGCCAUGUCUACCUGGUCAGCUGCGAGGAGGCCGUCGAUCAUGCCGACGAGUACGUGAGGAGGGAACCUGAUCCCUGGUCUACCGAGAAGGAGCAUGUACUAGUUGCAUGUCAGGUUGAAAUAGCCGGACGUCGCGGAAUUAUGCUGUUGGACCCAGGCUACCAUGUUGCCAGGGUGGUUACUGUCAUGUACGAUCAGAUGUACCCGCAUACAGGUUGGUUCACGCAAUCGAAGGAAGGUGACAUGCGUAAAGACUACAACUACGCGUUCGCGUCGGGUGCGGAUGAAGCCGGCUACGUGGUGUGGCGUGUGCGUGACUCGAGGGGCGCCGCGACGCCUGUUAAGGUGUCGCACAGUGUCAUCUUUGUGCGUCGGCCGUUCCUGAACGCGAUAGAUGUCGCCGAGAGACGCAACCUCGUCUACAAUUUCCGCAGUUUGUUGGCGCGUAACACCAAGGGUCAGCUGACGGCUGGUAUCUACUUUGGAGUGCCCGAAGUAACGGCUGGGGGGAGAGACAAACCAUUGGUGACCCUCUUCUAUCAGGCUGAUGGAGUCAAGAAACGCGAGAAGGUGGCUUUCGAUCUAUUUGCCACCCCUGACAUGAAACUGGACCCAGCCCUAGCCAAAAGCGUGGCGCUCUGCGGCGAGCAGCUCGGUCUUCCCGAGUCGGGUCUCAGAGACCUGCUCUACAAGUUGGCUCACAUCCUCACCGACGCAUCAUUCAUCAGUCAGAUGCUGGCCAUCAAUCAGGCCAUCAUUCUCAUGUCGGACGACAACUGAGAACUACCUCCAUCUCACUCCCACUCGACCACCCCGCAUCUCACAUCUCGUUCACUCAUCAUACUAGCGUCGUUCGUUUUCCUAACACUCAUUAUAAUAUUUUACAAGACGCAUCAGUUUUGGUAAAUUUCAUUUGGUUUCAUUUAGCAUUUUUUGUGGUUCAAUCUACGAUAACUUUUUAGGCUGGGGUUAGAUUCAUACAAAGCGUGAAUCAUCAAAAUGAUAGGGAGAGAAAAAAUAAGGUAACCUUGUGCUAUUCCUCUCACAAAUUUGGAUAAGGUUCCUGAUUUGGUUGGAGGGAGAGAAAAAAUAAGGUAACCUUGUGCUAUUCCUCUCCCAAAUUUGGUUAAGGUUCCUAAUUUGGUUGGACUAGAAGAGCCUAGAGCUAGAACACGAAUUUUAGAGCUUAAAACACUUAGAAACAACCUGACAUGAGAGGCUUGUUAAAUUAUGUCUCCAAAAGUAUACUGAUUCUUUAUUGAUCCAUACAAGUACAUUAACAAAAAUGAUAAGGAGAGAAAAAAUAAGGUAACCUUGUGCUAUUCCUCUCCCAAAUUUAGAUAAGGUUGGAUAAGGUCUAAAAGAGCUUAGAGCAUAGAGCUAGUACACGAAUUUUGGAGCUUAAAACAUUUAGAAACAACCUGACAUGAGAGGCUUGUUGAAUUAUGUCUCCAAAAGUAUAUAUUGAUUCUUUUGUGAUUCAUACAAGUACAUAAUCAAAAAUGAUAGGAAGAGAAAAAUAAGGUAGCCUUGUGCUAUUCCUCUCUCAAAUUCGGAUAAGGUUCCUCAUUUGGUUAGACUAAAAGAGAAUAGAGCUAGAACACGAAUUUUGGAGCUUAAACACUCAGAAACAACCAAACUUGAGAGACUUGUUAAAUUAUGUCUCCAAAAGUGUACUGAUUCAUACAAGUACAUUAACAAAAAUGAUGAGGAGAGAAAAAAUAAGGUAACCUUGUGCUAUUCCUCUCCCAAAUUUAAGGUUACACACAGUCCGAAAUAGGUCAAGACUUGUAGUUGUUCACUUUACAAAAUUUACAGUUAUAAAUUAUUUUCACAAAGUAGAUAUGAAUCCCCUCUUAGGACCGUUUGCACAGUCAAAGCUUCAUCUGAGUUUAAUCAGCUGUGGAUUUAAACUCAAAUGAACUACAUUAUAAAGAACUAGACUUGAUAUCUAUUCAAUCCAGUUAAAAUUGAUUUGAUAUUUAGUUAAAACUGGCACUUUGAAACAACCCGACAUAAUUAUGAGACGCUUGAUAAAUUAUGUCUUUGAAAGAGCAUGAAUCAAUUAUAAGGGCCGUUUGCACUGUCAAAUCUCAAACUGAAUUCAAUCAGCUGGUGGUUUUAAAAACUUGGAAUGAACCACAUUAUAAUAAACGAGACUUGAUAUAUGGAUUUAAAUUGAUUUAAACUGGCACAAACGGCACUAAGUCUAGUUACACACACAUCGAGUUUUGAACGUACGAUUUUUUCUCCGUCCUCAUAAAUACUAUAAUUAGAUAGGGCAUAACUUGGCAAACAGGUGAUGGGUUUGCCAAGUUCCAUUUGAUCUGGCCCUUUUUCAUAAAAACUUGGAAGUCCUGUAAUACAGGAACAGCUGAUUUUAUCGGCUAUAUUGAGCAUGUAAUUGGAAUGUUGAUUCUCCUGUAUCACGUGACUUAUAAGUUUUAUGAAACAGGGCCCAGGUAGAAUUCAUAAGGACGGCAAAAAUCGAACCUCCAAAAAUCGAUGUGUUUGUUGAGCUAGUAAGGUCUCGUGGCUUCACAGCCGCGUACUGUGUUUAUCUACAUUUUCAUUAAUCUUUGUUCACAAAAAAGAUUCGCUCGUUUGAUCUAAUCCCAGCCUAAGAGAACACUAAAAUCUUAUUAUAAUAAUUUUAACUUCUUGAUUUGUUGUAUUUUUUCAAGUAUGAUUCAGUGUUGAGGACACAAGGCCGGUCUCACACUGCUCACGAAUAUCGUAUCAUAUAGUAAUUGUUAUAAUUUACGAAUAUGGUAUCCAGAAGUAAUUAGGUCGUUAAUUUCGAAUUGUGAUCUUUGACUUAGGCCCAUAUGCACCUUCUACGCAAAUCUAGGUUUACUAGAAGGUAUGGUCGUAUUUAUUAUGUGUUAAAACCAACUGGUUUAAAUCAAUUACUGGCCAAUCUCAGUUUAAGGGUCGCUUUCUCCAAAGUUGGUUCAACUACUAAACCCUGUUAAAACCAACUGGUUUAAACCAAUCGCUGAAAAAUAUCAUUUAAAUUUUAUUUGGUGAUCGGUUUAUUAGUUGACAUUAAUCGUGCAUUGGUUAUAUUAUAAUUAUUGUUGAUUUUAAUUGAAUAUUUGACACACAACUUAGUUUAGUUGUAUUAUCCACACACAUAAACUAUCAGGACCGUAAUAAGCUUGUAAAGAUGUAGAGCGCAAACGCUUGGAAUAAAGGGAAUUAUCCAGUGAAAA
rnacentral:misc_RNA from 1 species